GCCCGGUUAGCUCAAUCGGUAGAGCGUGAGACUCUUAAUCUCAAGGUUGCGGGUGAGUAGCAUCUCAAGUAGCCGAAAAUUCCACACAAAACAUACUAACUCUAACAUAGGUUCGACCCCCGCAUCGGGCU